AAAAUAGUCUCAGUUCAGAUUGCAGGCUGCAACUCGCCUGCAUGAAGUCGGAAUUGCUAGUAAUCGUAGGUCAGCAUACUACGGUGAAUACGUUCCCGGGCCUUGUACACACCGCCCGUCAAACCAUGAGAGUUGGCAACACCCGAAGUCGGUAGUCUAACCGCAAGGAGGACGCCGCCGAAGGUGGGGUCGAUGAUUAGGGUUAAGUCGUAACAAGGUACC
rnacentral:rRNA from 1 species